rnacentral:misc_RNA from 1 species
UAGAUAUUUAGUUGAUUUUAUACAAGGUUUGGGUAAAAUGUACUAGGUUCCUGCGACACCUUAAGUUAUACUCUAGAUUCGCCAUUAGCAACAUGUAUCCGAAUAUCAACUAGAGAUGAAGAUAGACCACUGUGUAGUGACCCCUACGCAAUAUUACUCGAUAUUACAAGUGAGAGUAGACUAUCAGUAUCCGUUUAUCAACGAAACACAACAAAAGAUAGGCUCAUGUAGCCUGUCAUGAAGUUUCGUUCGGGAUGUCCAUUCUCCAAAGACAAGCUUCCGAACAACUCCUUUAAGAACUUCCAGAAUCGCUUCAUGGGCAUUUUGAUCUCUUUAAAUCAAAAGAACACGCCAAAUGUUUGAGGCAUCAUAAAGAUUGAUGAUGCUUUCUACCUGUAAUUUCUCCAGAGCUUUUCAUUCCGAAAUUGAAUCUGUGAAGACUGAGCUGAGGAAAUUCAAAGACGCGAGAGGAGUGGAAAGUACCUCAAAAUAUGAUCCAUAUUCAAUCUGAUGAGGUAGCUAAAGUUAACGAAGUGACAAAUAAGCGGCGAAGAAGUUACGAAGAAGUGGAGGACAGUGGCGUUGCAGCAGUAACUAGUGAGAGAAAGUGAGAAGUGAGAGAUUUUAGAGCGACAUUAUAA